rnacentral:rRNA from 1 species
CCUACGGGAGGCAGCAGUGGGGAAUAUUGCACAAUGGGGGCAACCCUGAUGCAGCGACGCCGCGUGAGUGAAGAAGUAUUUCGGUAUGUAAAGCUCUAUCAGCAGGGACGAAAAUGAAGGUUACUCACUAAGAAGCCUCGGCUAAAUAAGUGCCAGCAGCCGCGGUAAUACGUAGGGGGCAAGCGUUAUCCGGAUUUACUGGGUGUAAAGGGAGGGUAGACGGCAACGCAAGUCUGAAGUGAAAACCCAUGGCUUAACCAUGGAACUGCGUUGGAAACUGUGCGGCUGGAGUGCAGGAGAGGUAAGCGGAAUUCCUAGUGUAGCGGUGAAAUGCGUAGAUAUUAGGAGGAACACCAGUGGCGAAGGCGGCUUACUGGACAGUAACUGACGUUGAGGCUCGAAAGCGUGGGGAGCAAACAGGAUUAGAUACCCUAGUAGUC